UUCAGUGGCUCCGCAAGCAAUCUAACAGAAGAUGGAGAUACUGAGAGGAGAGGAGUCCAACUUUGUCACUGCAGACAUAAAGAUUCAUUAUUUUUGCCAAUUUCAAAAAACCCAGAACAAAGCAAUUCAUUUUUAGACAAAACCAUUUAGAGGACAACCAAUUUCACUGCAAGCAUCCUGGAAUCCAACAGCUUAAUAUGGCUCUGGUUGGAAUG
rnacentral:lncRNA from 1 species